CACACAUUUUGUAACAGAAAAUUUUUCAUCCUUUCACUGCGUUGUAGAUCAGCCCUCAUCUGCAUCUCCUCAGAUUGAUUCAGCUCAGAUCCCGCAGGCUAAACAACCUUGUGUGCGAUCAGUGCUGGACUAGGAGCUGCCCAAGGCUGGCACAGUGUGCACAGGAAGGGGCACGGAGUAUCCAAGAUGGGUGCUCAUCCUCCUGGAAAGGCCUUUUUCAAUACAUCUCGGAAGCACUUGAGAUGCGGAGGGCGUUGUCAGACAGUAUUCCAGAGAGGUGUCUGCUCUGUUGAAAUGCUUCCUCUAUAUGGUGGUCACAGAGAUUUGGGCUGGAAAGCAGAUAUUCAUGGAGUGGCUGGUGUUCUGCAGGCUGGCUGAUAUUCCACACAACAUUUUUUCCGUCGUUCGCAUUCCUCUGCUUACUUUUCAGAGAAGACAUGAAGCAGGCUCCCUUCUGCUACUUGCAGACUGUAGCCUUUUACAAGAGUUUGGAUGUGGGAGCAGUGAUUUCCCUGGGCUGGACUGUUGCUGGAAGCUGGCUGCCUGACAGCUGUCUGAUGAAGAGCCGCAAUGAACAGCGCAAAGUGCUGUGUCAGGCGUGGCUGAGUUGUGUCAGCCGUUAGCAGAGCGUUGGCUGAGGACGUCUUUUGCCUUUGCCCGAGUGUCACAUUUGCAAUGCUUAAAAUGUGAAUAUAGGGAGUGACCGGCCAUGUGUGCGGCCACCUUGCGCUGGGCCUCUGCAGAGGAGGCUGAUGCACUCUUGGACUGGGAUUCACGAAGCCCUGCAUGAGCCCAAGCUUCGCAGCUACGUUGUUCGAUCGCGUCUCCCUCGGAGCCUCAGUUUCCCUUUCUGUAAAGUAGGGAAAUGGGUGAUCUCCUUCAUGAAGUGCUUGGAGAUUCAGGACUCGUCUCCCUCAGAUGAGAGCAAGGCAAUUGCUAGAAACACCCAAGACAGUUCACCUACCAAAAAGUUUAAAAUUUGAGCAGUGCGAAGGCUGUAUAUGAAAACCUGGCCGAAGCAGAGUCCUCUCAGCCGGGGGCUGGAACCGGACGCUUUCCGAAAGGGGCCAGGAGCUCUGCAUUGGCCAGCUGCAGAAUAACUGCGGGGUGUUUCUUCCAAAGCGCCCUUCGUUGGCGGUUGGCUCUUGUCCUGCAAUAAAGGAUUUUGGUAGUGUUUUAGUAAACCA
rnacentral:lncRNA from 1 species